GAUGAACGCUAGCUACAGGCUUAACACAUGCAAGUCGAGGGGAAACGAUAGAGAAAGCUUGCUUUUUCUAGGCGUCGACCGGCGCACGGGUGAGUAACGCGUAUCCAACCUGCCCAUCACUUGGGGAUAACCUUGCGAAAGUAAGACUAAUACACAAUGAUAUCUCUAGAAGACAUCUGAAGGAGAUUAAAGAUUUAUCGGUGAUGGAUGGGGAUGCGUCUGAUUAGCUUGUUGGCGGGGUAACGGCCCACCAAGGCGACGAUCAGUAGGGGUUCUGAGAGGAAGGUCCCCCACAUUGGAACUGAGACACGGUCCAAACUCCUACGGGAGGCAGCAGUGAGGAAUAUUGGUCAAUGGGCGAGAGCCUGAACCAGCCAAGUAGCGUGCAGGAUGACGGCCCUAUGGGUUGAAAACUGCUUUUAUAAGGGAAUAAAGUGAGCCUCGUGAGGCUUUUUGCAUGUACCUUAUGAAUAAGGACCGGCUAAUUUCGUGCCAGCCGCCGCUGUAA
rnacentral:rRNA from 1 species